rnacentral:rRNA from 1 species
AGCAGCCGCGGUAAUUCCAGCUCCAAUAGCGUAUAUUAAAGUUGCUGCAGUUAAAAAGCUCGUAGUUGAAUUUCGGGAUCAUCAUGUCGGUCGUGCCUCGGUACGUACUGGCAUUGUUGGUUUCUACCUUCUGACGAACCAUGAUGUCAUUUAUUUGGUGUCGUGGGAAAUCAGGACUGUUACUUUGAAAAAUUAGAGUGUUUAAAGCAGGCUCACGCUUGAAUACAUUAGCAUGGAAUAAUGAAAUAGGACGUUUGAUUCUAUUUUGUUGGUUUCUAGGAUCGACGUAAUGAUUAAUAGGGAUAGUUGGGGGCAUUAGUAUUCAAUUGUCAGAGGUGAAAUUCUUGGAUUUAUUGAAGACUAACUACUGCGAAAGCAUUUGCCAAGGAUGUUUUCAUUAAUCAAGAACGAAAGUUAGGGGAUCGAAGACGAUCAGAUACCGUCGUAGUCUUAACCAUAAACUAUGCCGACUAGGG